UGUACAUUUUUUCUUCUUCAAAAAUGAAAAGCAAAUACGAUUUAAGAAUGGGGCCACGAACCAUUCUGAGCCAAGUUCUGACAUUUCUGACAUUUCAGUAUUGUUGGAGUCAGACACUGACUGAGACAGAACCUGUUGUCCUUAAACCUGAAGGAUCUCAUAAACUGACCUGUACUGCCUCUGGCUUUGACUUCAGUAGCUACUGGAUGGCUUGGAUCAGACAGGCUUCAGGAAAAGGACUGGAUUUUGUUGCUAUCAUUGAGUAUGACAGUGAUAGAAAGUUUUACUCCAGUGCUGUUCAAGGCAGAUUCACCGUCACCAGAGACAACAGUAAGAAUCAGGUGUAUCUGCAUAUGAGCAAACUGAAGAAUGAGGACACAGCGGUGUAUUACUGUGCCAGAGCCCUGAGAGACACAGCAACAAAAGAGACUCUGAUCCUGAUCAAAAACCUAUGUGCUUGACUACUACAGUUUUUAUGAGAAGAGAACAUUACUUUUGACCUUAGACUAAUUU